AUGAAACGCUGGCGGCGUGCUUAACACAUGCAAGUCGAGCGAGGGCCAGGGGGGCAACUCCCUGAGUCGAGCGGGCGGGACGGGGUGAGUAACACGUGGGCAAUCUGCCCGAAAGUGGGGAAUACCCCAGGGGAAACUUGGGCUAAUACCGCAUGUGAAUCGCCGGACCUCGAGAGAGGAUGCGAUCAAAGGGGGGCCGCAAGGUCUCUUCGCUUUCGGAGGAGCCCCGCGCCCGAUUAGCUAGUUGGCGGGGGUAACGGCCCCACCAAGGGCUUCGAAUCGGUAGCCGGCCUGGAGAAGGGUGAUCGGCCACACCGGAACUGAGACAGACGGUCCGGACUCCUAACGGGAGGCAGCAGUGGGGAUCUUGCGCAAUGGGGCGAAAGGCCUGACGCAGCAACGCCGCCGUGGAGGAUGAAAGGUCCCUUGGAUUGUAACUCCUGUCGGCCUGGAAGAAGUUCAUCGGGGCUCAUACCCUCGUGAUUGACUGUACCGGCAAAGGAAGCCCCGGCUAACUCUGUGCCAGCAGCCGCGGUAAUACAGAGGGGGCAAGCGUUAUUUCGGAAUUAUUGGGCGUAAGAAGGGCGCGUAGGCGGCCUGUCAAGUCUCUCGUGAAAUCCCUCGGCCUUAAACUGAGGACGUGCGGGAGAUACUGUCAGGCUGGAGUCCGGAAGAGGGUGGUGGAAUUCCCAGUGUAGCGGUUGAAAUGCGUAGAUAUUGGGAGGAACACCGGUGGCGAAGGCGGCCCACCUGGGCGGAACUGACGCCUGAGGCCGCGAAAGCGUGGGGAGCAAACGGGGAUUAGAUACCCCGGUAGUCCCACGCCGUAAACGAUGGGCACUUGGUGUCGCGGGUAUCGACCCCUGCGGUGCCGAAGAGCUAACGCAUUAAGUGCCCCGCCUGGGGAGUACGGUCGCAAGGCCUGAAAACUCAAAGGAAUUGACGGGGGGGCCCGCAACAAGCGGGUGGAGGCCAUGUGGUUCAAUUCGAAGCAACGCGAAGAACCUUACCUGGGUUUGAAGAUCAAACGGACCGGGGUGGCGAAAAUCACCCUUUCCCGCCAAGGGACUGUUGGUUAGGUGCUGCAUGGCCUGUCGUCAGCUCGUGUCGUGAGAUGUUGGGUUAAGUCCCGCAACGAGCGCAAACCCCUGUUGCCAGUUGCAUCGGGUAAUGCCGGGCACUCUGGUGAGACUGCCGGUGAUAAAACCGGAGGAAGGUGGGGGAUGAACGUCAAGUCCUCAUGGCCCUUUAAUGUCCAGGGCUUACACACAUGGCUACAAUGGCCGGUACAAACCGACGCAAGGAGCGCAAGCUGGAAGCAAAUCGGAAAAAGCCGGUCUCAGUUCGGGAUUGGAGUCCUGCAACUCGACUCCAUGAAGCUGGAAUCGCUUAGUUAAUCGCGGAUCAGCACGCCGCGGUUGAAUACGUUUCCCGGGCCUUGUACACACCCGCCCCGUCACAUCACGAAAAGUCGGCUGUACCAGAAGGCCGGUGGGCUAACCCGCAAAGGGGAGGUAGGCCGUCUAAGGGUAUGGUCGGUAAUUGGGGUG
rnacentral:rRNA from 1 species